rnacentral:rRNA from 1 species
CCGCCUGGGGAGUACGGUCGCAAGAUUAAAACUCAAAGGAAUUGACGGGGACCCGCACAAGCGGUGGAUGAUGUGGAUUAAUUCGAUGCAACGCGAAAAACCUUACCUACCCUUGACAUGUACGGAAGCCCACUGAGAGGUGGGCGUGCUUGAAAGAGAACCGUAACACAGGUGCUGCAUGGCUGUCGUCAGCUCGUGUCGUGAGAUGUUGGGUUAAGUCCCGCAACGAGCGCAACCCUUGUCAUUAAUUGCCAUCAUUUAGUUGGGCACUUUAAUGAGACUGCCGGUGACAAACCGGAGGAAGGUGGGGAUGACGUCAAGUCCUCAUGGCCCUUAUGGGUAGGGCUUCACACGUCAUACAAUGGCCGGUACAGAGGGUUGCCAACCCGCGAGGGGGAGCCAAUCCCAGAAAGCCGGUCGUAGUCCGGAUUGUUCUCUGCAACUCGAGAGCAUGAAGUCGGAAUCGCUAGUAAUCGCGGAUCAGCAUGUCGCGGUGAAUACGUUCCCGGGUCUUGUACACACCGCCCGUCACACCAUGGGAGUGGGUGA